GGGCUCGGUUCACCUCUUUAUUGGGUUUUCCCGAACCCAUUUCAAUUUAUUUGGGCCUAAUGGGUUUCGGACCCGAACUUGGAUCCGACCCGUUAGGCAACCCGUUAAGGGUUCUUUCUGGGGUUUUCCUGAGGCUUCGGCCUCUUUCGUCCGUGCCUCUCCCUCUCCCCCUUCCUCCGGUUCCCUUUCUCUUCUCCUCGCCGCCUUUCGGCUCCUCCCUCUCCUCUCGCUGGCGACCGGGGAGAUGAAGCUCCCUCGAUCCACCGGCCAGGGCGGUGCUCCCCCCUCAGGGCAGCGGCGGCGGGAGACCGGCCCCUUUCCCCUCUUCUCCCUUCCCCCCUUUUUUUUGUUCUUCUUCCUCUUCCGUUUACCCUCCUCCCUUUUCCCCCUUUUUUUAUAGAAACCGCGCCACCACCUCUUCGCCAGCGCAGAGGUGGGGCUUGGCUGAGGCUGGCGGCCUUGAGGCCGCGUCUGUCGCCGGCUCGGCCAGACCCAGCGGCCCUUGGCUGCCCCUUAGCCUUAGGGCAGCCGCGGCCAGCGGCUGCGGUGCCCUGUCACCCGCAGGCCGAGUCCAGUUGGGCUUGGCCCGAGUGGACAUCGGGCCUGGGCUUGGGCCAUCCUCAGGCCGGCCUGCGGCCUGUGAGUCCGGCCUGCAGCCCGUGGAUCCGGCCCGUGGCUCUUCUCCUGUCUCCCCCAGUGCCGGUCUUCUUCCUUUGUGCCGGUCUUCCUUCCUGUGCCGGUCUCCUCCCCUCUGUUUCAUUAAUGAAACAGAGAGGAGAACACCCCACAGAAGGGUUUCUCCAUCCUUUUUCCCUACCUAAAACCCUGUUCACCGGGGCCCUUACCUUGAUUUGGUUGGCUGGAGUUGGGCAGUACCUCCUCCUCAGCAAGCUCCCUCCUUCCUCUCCUAGGGCUGUAAGGUCCCUUCUGCCUCCAGCUCCAAGGCUCAGCUCUCUGGUGCAGUAAAUCCAGAGGAUUAGAGGUUUAGGAGGGUAUAUCAAAAUCGGGGGUUAGCAAAUUUUAGGGGUUAUAAAUAUUUGGCUUAGGACUUGACCCCAAGGAGAGGUGGCAUCCUCUCCUUCCUCACUGCUCCGGGAGCCACCAGCUACCCCCCCCCUCUUCAGGCCAACUCAAUGCUCAACUACCGAGGGGGAGGAGGUGGCGGGCUCCCGUUUUGCAUGUCUGUGGGGGUCUCUCCGUUGGCCAGCUGGUGGUCCUAUCCUUUCAGCCCUCAGGCGGGAGAUGACAGUCCUCCAUGGCUACUCUUCAUGGGCCAGCGUAGCCCACUAACCCCCCCGGGCCCAAUACUCUUCAACUGGGCCCUACUGUAUUGGGUCCGGUCUGUAUUGGGCCCAGAUAUUACAGGAUUUGAGCUCUCCUUCAACAUUCAAAUCCAAGUGGCUGAAAGUAUAGCAGAGAGGUGGGAUGCAUGGUAAACAUGAGAAAAUCAUAGCUCUGUUUUCUUUUUCGUUAUUUCAGAUUGGGAAAUGUGGUGAUUUAGCAUUUUAAGCAAGUCUUAACACACCAUGACAAGCUGAUACAUUUCCUACUUCUUUUUAUUCUAGUAAGACGAUAUGUUUUCUUUUGAUCAUGAUAGGAUCACAACAGACCAUUGCUUGAUUAAAAACUUGGAAAUUAAGGGCUAAGAUUUAUGGUCCAAAACAGACCAUAUAUAGAUAAGGUACCAAGCAGAAUACUUUACAACGUUAUGGUAGCCACUGUUUGCCAAAGAACAAAGUCACUUUUGCUGAAGAUUCUUAAACAAGAAUCUGCUUUUUGAUGGUCAACUUUUGUUAAAUUUUUUAAAUAGUUUUCUUGAGUCCAUGGGAGACAAAAAGAUCUACAAAAAUAGAGGUUGUACAAUUAUAAAUUCCCAAAAUGGAAUAAAUGAACACAAUUUAGUUGUUUUGCAUGAGUACAACAUAGAUGUGAUGGAUUAAAAACAUACAUAUUUGAGUGAACAGAAUGUAAGACUUGUACACAUAAAGAAGCUACAUUUAGUAAAAUGUAGUCAUAGGUGCAACCUCUAAACAUUUCAUAUGCAUUAUGUUGUCGUACCUUUCCGAUUAUUUUCAGUUGCAUAAAAGUAGAGAAACAAAAGAAAUUUUAUGCAUGCAACCAAGAUGGUUACUUUCCCCAACAUUGAAUACUUUACAGGCAACUCAUCAUGCAUGUACAUCUGGAAUUGGUGUACACUCUCCUGUGAGUUUUAUGAAUCGAAGCAUCGUACUAGCUUAUGGAGAAUCCCAACUUGGCCAGGAUAUCAGCACAGGAGCUUACUUCCUGUCAGCUAUACAUGACUCGAUGGUCUUCCAUAUAGGCAAUUAGAUCCGGACACAACCCCUUAUCCCUCAGUAGAUGAAACACUACUAGAGCUCACCAUCCAUUUCCACUUUUCAUACACCCCAAUACCAUUUCAUUCCAACAGACGAUAUCUCUUUAUAGCAUUCUAUCAAAAAGCCCCUAAGAAAUAUGAAACUCACCAACCUUGUUGCAGGAAACAAGAAGAGAACUCCCCAAGAGAGUGUCAGCAAGCUCCAACAACAUAAACAUGGAUGGAUCUCCCGAGCCUCUCAUCUCCGAACCCUGUAGCGCACCAGAAGCAACAUUGAGAGUGUCGGCAAAGUGGGUUUCAUGCCUCUAAGAACCCAUCCAGGAAAACAGAGACAAUUUACAAGCAUAGCAUCGCAUUCCACGCACCAAAAUAUCUCUCUUUCAGGAAUUCAUUCAAACAGCUUGCGAGCAUACUUGACAUGUCCAUGUAUUCACAGAGUACAUCCUCUAAGGCAGUGGCGAUGUCUCUCCAGGGUCAAAGUCCAAGUCUCCCAGUUUACUUGGAUGAAUUUAUAAUACCGUAUGGACGACCAGAGCACUCUCGAAGCUUGGCAUGGAACACCGGUCCUUGACGAGUCUGGAUCCUCCACCAUGCGUGAUUUGCACGGCAAAGAUAACAGUUAAUUACUACCAGAACAAUAUUAGAAGUAUGCCCUACAAGCCAAUUUGGCUAACACAUUAUUAUAUUGUGGAGCAUAAAUUUAUACUUGGCCUAAUUAUGAAUUUAUUAAGUUGGGCAUUCUUUUUAUUCAUGUUCUUAUGUGUCCAUGAAUCGUCCAAAAAUUAAUAAGAUGAUGACGCAUAUUCUCAAGAGUUAAAAAUUUGAGAUAUGUGUCAUUGGUAAUUAAUUCCUAAAUUGCUCCUGAUCGAUGGACCAUCACGAGGACGGUGAUCGAUCCGCUGAGAUUAGUGCACAGAUCACUUUUUUUGAUGGACGAGUCUUGAGUCCACAGUAUGGGGACACUGAAGUGAUUGUGCAAAUGCUUAUUAGAGGACGGUGACCAUAGCAAGUAAUUACUUGGAUGUUUAUCCACUCGUCAAUGACUUACUUGAUGCUGCAGUUGUAUGACUGGUCCUUUGACCUGCAAUGCCUGGCUAUUCACAAUGAGGUUGCUAUAGUUUGACGAGCACAUAAACAUGGGCCCUAUCCAUUUGGGUCCUUGUGGUGCAGAUUGGUUGCAGUAGGUUCAUUGUAGGAGUAGGGGUGCAUCUAGAUAGAAUCUAUCGAUCUUGAUAAAUUAGGAGAGAUCCUACAUGAUUUAUGAGACUGAGUUCGUAAAUUCUUGACUAAGGUAGUUUUUGGAAAAAGAGUUUUUCAAUCUCGAACUGGAGUCGAAUAAAUUUUACAUAUGACAGAUGAUGGGGUUUGACGAGUUAUCCAUGACCUCCAUCCAGUCGAGAUCCACGAUAGAGGGACUAUAUCAUACAUUAACUGCACCUAGAUGUUCAUCUAUUUCAUUUUGCUGGGUAGCCACUACAUGCUGCUAGAUGUCACUGGUGGAUUGUGAGAUUCAAAGGCAUUUACUUGGUGAUCAGUGAACCCAAAUGAGAAGAGUUGGAAUUGUUCCAACCCAUUGAAAGGAGUUUCAAUGAUAUUGUGAUAGGGAUCACAAUUUAUCUCACUACCAGACAGAAUAGAACCUAUUGGGUCACACGCAUUAGAGGUAUUGACCGAUCCGAUGGUUGAAUUGUGAUUUGGAAUCACAAUAGUUCAUUAUUAUCAAUUUGAUUGAUAAUUGGUUUAACUCACUAAGAGUUAGUGAGUAGAAGAAAGAAUAAUUGCAAUUAGAUUGCAAUUUAAUUAAAUCAAUUGGACUUAAUUAAUUGGGUUUGAUCUUAUUAAAUAAGAGUCAUACUUGGAGUAGGACUCUUAGAGUCUUAAUUAGAUUAGGAUUUCAAAUUAUUAGAAUCCUAAUUGGAUUAGGAUUCCUAAAGUCCUAAUUGAAUUAGGACUGAAAUUAUAUGAGUCCUAAUUGGAUUAGGACUCCUAGAUUCCUAAUUAAUUUUUGGUCUAAUAGAUAAAGGUGACUCCUAAUUGGAUUAGGAUUGAAGAGUUCAAUUGAGUCAUGAUCUAAUUGGGUCCUAAUCAGAUUAGGACCCUUAUGGAUAAACAUGAGGCCACCUAAUCUCUUUUUUUGAAAGGAAUUAGACACCCAUAAAGAGGCCCCACACCCCACUUCAUUUAACGAAGUGGAGAGUGGGGCAUGAGAAAAAAAGGAGGGGCGUACGCCCCUCCCCUUAGUUUUUACGUGAGAAGAGAAUAGGAGGGGCGUCCUAGAGAUAGACUUGGAGCUCCUAAAAGUUAGGAGCUCCACACGUCUUGAAAGAAAAAAAAAAGGGGACGGCCCCCUAGGGCUUUUCUUCUCUUCUUUCAGCUGUAAGGCCCCUUAUACUCUUGGGUUUCAGCCGCAAACAAAAAAAAGGGAGGGAGGCGUGUGGUUUUUCCCUUCUUCCUUCUUCCACCGCAAGAAAAAGAAUCAAAGGGAAAGGGCAGCAAGAAGGGUGAAUCCUUUUUCUCCCUUCUAGUCCUUCCUCCUCUCUAAGGCAAGCAAGAGUUGAUUCAUUAGAGAUGACUUCAGCCAUCAAAACAUAUUUCUGCAAGGGAGCUAGCACCCUAGGGAGAUUAGAGAGUUUGGAUUGAUCCUCUACCUCGUUUGGAUACCCGUAGAGGCCGGACGCGUGUGCGGCUUCAAGCAAACCUCCAACAAAUCCACGAUCAUCAGAUUGCGGUGAAUAUCAACCCACACAAGGUAAAAAUCUGAUCUUCCUAAUCUUAUGAAAAAGUUUUAAUCCUAAUCUAUCUAUGAACAUCGGUUUUAAAAUACGUUCAUGCUUUUUUGAUGCGAUCUCGCGCAUUCCUCUUCUGCUGCGUUUUGAUUUUUCUGCGGCAUGCGCGGGAUUCCAAAAGUUUUGCAUGUCCAUACCUAAUUGUUUACUUGAGAAUAUACCGAGUAUUAUUGCAUGUGCAAUCUAACAAAAGUUUUGCAUGUCCGGGCAUGCAAUACAAACGAAGAAAAGAAGAACNNNNNNNNNNNNNNNNNNNNNNNNNNNNNNNNNNNNNNNNNNNNNNNNNNNNNNNNNNNNNAAUUGGUAAGCCGAAUACAGUGAGUUUGUGCCCAUUAAUCCCAACAGAACAACAUACAAAAUAGAGAGAUUGGCUGAAGAAAGAAUUAAGAACAAUACAUAUAUCUAGAUGCUCUCCAACUUAGGGCUCGUUUGGUUCGUGGGAAACAUUUUUUCUCAUAGGAAUAUGAUUCUUGGAAAGCAGAUUCCUGAGAAGAGGAUGUCUGGAAAGUACUUUUGGCAUAUUUGGUUGACCAUGAGAAAGUGACAGAUUUUCAGAGUACUUAUGUUUGGUUGACCAUCUACUGUUCUAGGUAAGUUAUAUGUAAUUCCUAUUAUACCCUUAAUAAAAAUUGGGUUUUUAAUGCUUUGGAUCAAAUAAGGGUAGCUGAAGAGCCUUUUUUGGAAAAAAUAAAAAUGUUUCAAUUUUUGGCUCACGGAAAAGUAACUUUUCCAUGUUUCUCAUGGAAAAGUCAACGUGGAAAUCAUAUUCCCAUCAGAAUACAACUUUUUCGUCUCUCUUCUUUAAAAACUCCAACCAAACAAGAAGCAUCUCUUUACUUUCCCAUUGACUACACUUUCUCUCCUUUUUUUUCUGCAAACCAAACGAGCUCUUAAGGUUACAAGAAUAUGAAAAACAUAAUUGUGAGAUACGGGGCUGAAGUCGGCAGCCCCAGCCGACUUCAGCCCCGAUCCUGAUAUGGGAGGAACCGGAGAGGAUUGCCAUCCUCUCCGGCUCCUCCGGGGGACCAAAAGGGGCAAGGACGCCGCGGGUAAUCCGCGGCGCCCCUUUAGCCAAUCCGCGGCCAAUUCACGGCCGCGGAUCUCGCCCGACCGCCGCGAUUUUCGUGGCGGAGGGCCGUUAUGGUGGGGAUGAUAAAAACCCCACCCUUUCUUCCCUAGGGCACCACCGAACCCCCCUCCUCUCCUCCUUCUCCUCCCUCUUCUUCCUCUGCUCUUGCCUCCCAAGUGGCUGGCGGGCCGCCGGAUCCACCACCAUCACCACCCGUGCCCUCCCCUGUUUUGGGAUCCACUUCCCUUUCGGAAAGCGNNNNNNNNNNNNNNNNNNNNNNNNNNNNNNNNNNNNNNNNNNNNNNNNNNNNNNNNNNNNNNNNNNNNNNNNNNNNNNNNNNNNNNNNNNNNNNNNNNNNNNNNNNNNNNNNNNNNNNNNNNNNNNNNNNNNNNNNNNNNNNNNNNNNNNNNNNNNNNNNNNNNNUUGAAUCUUGACCCCGGCCAUCGCAACGGCCGCCAGCCGCCACUGCGGCCGGCUGGCCGUCGACCGAGGGGUGGCCUCUGGCCACCCCGCCGCCCCCUUCCUCUUCCGCUCUCCCUCUCGGUCUUCCCCUACCGUGGGGGGGAUUGGGGGAGGAAGAUGGCCCUACGGGCCGAACAGGGCCCAACAUGGGCCGGUUCACUAUGGGCCCGGUUCACUGUGGGCCCAACAUGGGCCCGGUUAAAAAAAAAAAAAUUCCGAAACUGAAACCCAGUUCAGAUCUGAGCCCGGAACCCGAAUCCGAACCCAAACCCGAAACCCGAACCCAUUUGGCCACUAAAUGAAAUUUUGCAGAUAAGCCCUUGACAGUAUAUUAUUUCACAAAAAGGAUCUUCUGUAUUUUGUAUUUGAUCCCUAUAGGAAAGACUUAUUACGUAAAGGUCCCCAACAAUAUUUAUUUAGUCCCCUCACUCAAGUUUUAUUAUAGAACAGUACCCUAUAAUUAAGUAUUAGU
rnacentral:lncRNA from 1 species